CACUUACUCCCUCCGUUCCAAAUUACUUGUCGCAGAAAUGGAUGUAUUUAAAACUAAAAUACAUCUAGAUACAUCCAUACCCGCGACAAGUAAUUCGGAACGGAGGUAGUAUUUC
rnacentral:pre_miRNA from 1 species